GAUGAACGCUGGCGGCGUGCCUAAUACAUGCAAGUCGAGCGAACGGACGAGAAGCUUGCUUCUCUGAUGUUAGCGGCGGACGGGUGAGUAACACGUGGAUAACCUACCUAUAAGACUGGGAUAACUUCGGGAAACCGGAGCUAAUACCGGAUAAUAUUUUGAACCGCAUGGUUCAAAAGUGAAAGACGGUCUUGCUGUCACUUAUAGAUGGAUCCGCGCUGCAUUAGCUAGUUGGUAAGGUAACGGCUUACCAAGGCAACGAUGCAUAGCCGACCUGAGAGGGUGAUCGGCCACACUGGAACUGAGACACGGUCCAGACUCCUACGGGAGGCAGCAGUAGGGAAUCUUCCGCAAUGGGCGAAAGCCUGACGGAGCAACGCCGCGUGAGUGAUGAAGGUCUUCGGAUCGUAAAACUCUGUUAUUAGGGAAGAACAUAUGUGUAAGUAACUGUGCACAUCUUGACGGUACCUAAUCAGAAAGCCACGGCUAACUACGUGCCAGCAGCCGCGGUAAUACGUAGGUGGCAAGCGUUAUCCGGAAUUAUUGGGCGUAAAGCGCGCGUAGGCGGUUUUUUAAGUCUGAUGUGAAAGCCCACGGCUCAACCGUGGAGGGUCAUUGGAAACUGGAAAACUUGAGUGCAGAAGAGGAAAGUGGAAUUCCAUGUGCAGCGGUGAAAUGCGCAGAGAUAUGGAGGAACACCAGUGGCGAAGGCGACUUUCUGGUCUGUAACUGACGCUGAUGUGCGAAAGCGUGGGGAUCAAACAGGAUUAGAUACCCUGGUAGUCCACGCCGUAAACGAUGAGUGCUAAGUGUUAGGGGGUUUCCGCCCCUUAGUGCUGCAGCUAACGCAUUAAGCACUCCGCCUGGGGAGUACGACCGCAAGGUUGAAACUCAAAGGAAUUGACGGGGACCCGCACAAGCGGUGGAGCAUGUGGUUUAAUUCGAAGCAACGCGAAGAACCUUACCAAAUCUUGACAUCCUUUGACAACUCUAGAGAUAGAGCUUUCCCCUUCGGGGGACAAAGUGACAGGUGGUGCAUGGUUGUCGUCAGCUCGUGUCGUGAGAUGUUGGGUUAAGUCCCGCAACGAGCGCAACCCUUAAGCUUAGUUGCCAUCAUUAAGUUGGGCACUCUAAGUUGACUGCCGGUGACAAACCGGAGGAAGGUGGGGAUGACGUCAAAUCAUCAUGCCCCUUAUGAUUUGGGCUACACACGUGCUACAAUGGACAAUACAAAGGGCAGCGAAACCGCGAGGUCAAGCAAAUCCCAUAAAGUUGUUCUCAGUUCGGAUUGUAGUCUGCAACUCGACUACAUGAAGCUGGAAUCGCUAGUAAUCGUAGAUCAGCAUGCUACGGUGAAUACGUUCCCGGGUCU
rnacentral:rRNA from 1 species